GUUUAAUUUGGAGAGUAAUCCAUCAGUGGAAGGUCUAAUUGUGGCGAUGUCACUUAUUGGUGCUACUCUGAUUACAACAUGCUCUGGAGGGGUAGCUGAUUGGCUUGGUCGCCGUCCGAUGCUAAUAUUGUCCUCAAUUCUCUACUUUGUUGGUUCUCUAGUAAUGCUAUGGUCUCCCAACGUUUAUGUGUUGCUCUUAGGAAGGUUGUUAGAUGGAUUUGGGGUUGGUCUUGUGGUCACACUUGUUCCUAUUUAUAUAUCCGAGACUGCACCUCCUGAGAUUAGGGGACUGUUGAAUACGCUACCGCAGUUCACUGGCUCUGGAGGGAUGUUCUUAUCGUACUGUAUGGUUUUCGGGAUGUCGUUGAUGCCAUCACCUAGCUGGAGAUUGAUGCUUGGUGUCCUUUUCAUCCCUUCCCUUGUCUUUUUCUUCCUCACAGUCUUCUUCUUGCCCGAGUCCCCAAGGUGGCUCGUGAGCAGAGGUCGAAUGCUUGAAGCAAAGCGGGUUCUUCAGAGACUGCGUGGUCGCGAAGAUGUGUCUGGUUAGUCUUUAAACAUUCUGACUCUAAUUAUUUCAAUGAAACCAUUUUUUUCUGUUGAACGUUCUUAUGUGGCAAUGAAUAGGUGAGAUGGCUCUGUUGGUUGAGGGUCUUGGAAUUGGAGGUGAAACAACCAUAGAGGAAUAUAUAAUUGGUCCUGCGGAUGAAGUUACUGAUGAUCAUGAUAUAGCUGUGGAUAAGGAUCAAAUUAAGUUGUAUGGUGCAGAAGAAGGGCUGAGUUGGGUUGCUAGGCCAGUCAAAGGAGGAAGCACUAUGAGCGUUUUGUCUCGCCAUGGAAGUACAAUGAGCAAGAGGCAAGGCUCAUUGAUUGAUCCUCUUGUCACACUGUUUGGGAGCGUUCACGAGAAGAUGCCAGACACUGGAAGCAUGAGGAGUGCCUUGUUCCCACAUUUUGGGAGUAUGUUCAGUGUGGGAGGGAAUCAACCGAGAAAUGAAGACUGGGAUGAAGAGAAUCUUGUUGGAGAAGGUGACGAUUAUCCAUCUGACCAUGGAGAUGAUUCUGAUGAUGAUCUUCAUUCUCCGUUGAUCUCACGACAAACGACAAGCAUGGAGAAAGACAUGCCUCACACUGCUCAUGGAACUCUUUCUAACUUCAGACAUGGAAGUCAAGUGCAGGGAGCUCAAGGGGAAGGAACGGGUAGUAUGGGGAUUGGAGGUGGAUGGCAAGUGGCAUGGAAAUGGACUGAAAGAGAAGAUGAAUCGGGACAGAAAGAAGGUGGAUUCAAGCGGAUAUACUUGCAUCAAGAAGGUUUCACGGGAUCUCGACGUGGCUCAAUUGUUUCAUUGCCUGGAGGUGAUGGAACCGGUGAGGCAGAGUUUGUACAAGCGUCUGCUUUGGUUAGCCAACCAGCUCUUUAUUCCAAAGACCUUCUCAAGGAACAUUCAAUUGGUCCUGCUAUGAUGCAUCCAUCCGAAACAGCUAAAGGGUCAAUUUGGCAUGAUCUUCAUGAUCCUGGAGUCAAACGUGCAUUAGUCGUAGGAGUCGGACUUCAAAUACUUCAGCAGGUAAUCUAGAUAGAGACAUCAAAAUUAGUGAAUCACAGAAGAAAUUUUGCUGUUUAUUCUAAUUCUAUGUUUUCCUGCUUCCUCUUGGAAAUGUAGUUCUCAGGCAUCAAUGGAGUUCUUUACUACACACCGCAAAUCCUUGAGCAGGCGGGUGUCGGGAUUCUACUAUCGAACAUGGGGAUUAGUUCUUCCUCAGCAUCCUUACUUAUAAGUGCAUUGACAACCUUUGUGAUGUUACCUGCAAUCGCUG
rnacentral:lncRNA from 1 species